rnacentral:rRNA from 1 species
CCUACGGGAGGCUGCAGUGGGGAAUAUUGGACAAUGGGCGAAAGCCUGAUCCAGCCAUGCCGCGUGUGUGAAGAAGGCCUUCGGGUUGUAAGGCACUUUCAGUGGGGAAGAAAGCCUUGGGGCUAAUACCCUCGAGGAAGGACAUCACCCACAGAAGAAGCACCGGCUAACUCCGUGCCAGCAGCCGCGGUAAUACGGAGGGUGCGAGCGUUAAUCGGAAUUACUGGGCGUAAAGCGCGCGUAGGCGGUCUGAUAAGCCGGUUGUGAAAGCCCCGGGCUCAACCUGGGAACGGCAUCCGGAACUGUCAGGCUAGAGUGCAGGAGAGGAAGGUAGAAUUCCCGGUGUAGCGGUGAAAUGCGUAGAGAUCGGGAGGAAUACCAGUGGCGAAGGCGGCCUUCUGGACUGACACUGACGCUGAGGUGCGAAAGCGUGGGUAGCAAACAGGAUUAGAUCCCCCGGUAGUC